ACUCCACGGCAGCCCUCCAUUUUGUCAACUGCCUCAAUUUAAACGUCUUCUAAGUUGAAGGCAGAACUUCCAACAUUUCUUCGGGAGCCCUUCGGGGCUUUAAAGCAUCCUCGACCAUUUUAAGCAGUGGAAAGCCUAUUCGGAGCCAGCACUAUUUACUAAGUUUAGAAAGGCAGACGCGCACGCCAAAGCUUAUCAAGAGCCUCCCCAAACAUCCCCUGCAGACGGUUCCAGGGCGCGCUGAAGAAGUCAGCGGUCUCUUGCUCAUCCCUUCCAGCGGCGUGCUGCCUCCCCUUCCCCGCACAAAAGGCGCCCGGCUUUCCCCCCGCUCUCCCUUGCCUUUACGAGGAGAGGCAGGUGGAUAACGGGAGGUGAGAAAGGAGCCGCCGCGGGCAGCAGAGUGCCGGCCGCCCCGCAGCAGCCUUUCGUUCCUCCCUACCACUUGCACAGCAGGCUCCUGGAAACGAUCUGAACUGUAGGCUCAAACCAGGGAGAGAUUCAGGCCUUAGUUUGGUAAACACCUGGACCAUCUGGAAGAGGGACUACCUGGCUUUGCUGCUGUCCCUGCCUGCUGACGUUCCCUCCCCACGUUUUCGAAGGACAACAGUGGAUGAUUUGGAGCAGUGGAAGAGAAAGGGAGAAUUAAGGAACCAGAGCAGCAGAAAGUACAGAGAAAAAGGAAGGAGAGCAUCAGCUGUCUGCUUCGCGCGCCAGCAGGAGAUCAUGAUGAGUUGCACAAACGCUGAAAGAAGAGCUUGGUUUCCCGUUUGGUUUACAGCACAUGAAUGAACGAAGGCUUGGAGCACUGCAGAGUGGACAGCAAUAUGGGAACAAGGAUGCACAGCAAUCAGUAGGGAAAGAGUGAACCAACGUGUGUCAGUGGCGGUCUGGGCUCACAGAGGGAGUGUACAGAGCUUGAGAACAUGCAGGCAGACAACUUGGUUGAGUCCAUCUAACAGGUUUCCAAUGCCAAAAGGAGGUGCUGCAGCUCACAAUUUCCUACCCUCCGUGUCAGACUGUGAGCUCCUGCCACUUUCCUUGCUGUGGAUCUAGCAUUGUUAUAACGUGUAUGGGUCAAUCCAUCUUGCUAAGCCAGCAGAAAUAGAGUGAGUUACUCUUUGACAGUCAUUAGGUUGAUGUUUGCUGUCUGACGAUAUUAGAAAAGAGCUCUUUACAAUGAGGGUGGUCAGACACUGGAACAGGUGCCUAGAGGGGCCGUGGCUUCUCCUUGGAGAUGGUCAGUGCUGGAAUGGACAAGGCCUCAAGCAACCUGAUCUAACUUUGGAGCUGGAUUUAAUGUCGAAGUUGGCUCUGCCGUGUACAGGGAGUUAGACCAGCUGGCUUCCAGAGGUCCCUUCCAACAUAAAUUAUUGUGUAUGGUAUAGAGGGGGGAGUCAUGAUUCCUGUAUCUUGUAUCCUUAUUUUACACUGAGAAAUCUCAGUGCAUCAGUAUCCCUGGCUGAAAAUUUAUCUGUCAAACAUUAAGGUACUCCUGUCAUUAUUGUGAAAUGUCAGUGUAUACAUUUCUAUGUAUAAAUUUCUAUGAGCAAAGCUAUUUCAGGAGGAAGUUUGUUUGGAUGCUAUAAGUCAGUACUUUAAAAUAUAGAUAUUGUAGGGUUGAUCUCAUUAUUGCUAAACCAAACGUUAUAAAGUAUAUAAAUAUGAAUUUAUACUGUAAAAUUACUAAAGUA